rnacentral:lncRNA from 1 species
AAAUUUUUAGCGUCCUGCUUAGUCCAUUCGAUAACUCGGUUACAUAGGCUUUUUUUUUCUCAAUUAAGAGUUAUAAAAAAAAGCUUCAACGGCUAACUCAAAUUCUUUACAUACAAAUCUGCUUUUAGUCCUUAAUACGCCUGACCCUUCGGGUCCAUUAUACAUGCGCUCCAGCAGUCAACGCUGUCACUGUCGUGUUCCUUGAUGCCUUUGCUGUCUGUUUUAGACACGGUCUUAGAGCUCUGACUGGCCGGAACUCGAAAUCACAGAGAUCCGCUUUCCUCUGGCUCCCAUUGCUGGUGACGUGAGUCAUGGAAUCCAGCCUUGUUUACCUUUUUAUUUUACUUUAUUUUUUAAGAUUUAUUUGUGUGUGUGUGUGUGUGUGUGUGUGUGUGUGUGUGUGUGUGUAUUACCUGUGUGUGUUUGCUCCACAUGCAUGCCUGUUGCCCAGGGAAGUCAGAACCAUCAUGUGGGUGAUGGGACCAACAAGUGCUCUUGGCUGAUGGGACAUCCUCGGGCCCUCAUUUCAUUUGUCUUUUAAGUUUGCAGUGACUUUUUAAAGAAUUAUUUAUUUAUUUCAUGUAUAUGAGUACACUCUAUCACAUGCGCGAAGCUGGGGAUGUCUGUUACGCAGACGUACAGAAGGACGGAAUGGGGAUGGUUGAAUAUUUGAGGAAAGAAGACAUGGAAUAUGCUCUGCGGAAACUGGAUGACACCAAAUUCCGCUCUCACGAGGGUGAGACUUCGUACAUCCGGGUGUAUCCUGAGAGGGGCACCAGCUAUGGCUGCUCGAGGUCGCGGUCGGGGUCCAGGGGCCGUGACUCUCCAUACCAAAGCCGGGGCUCGCCACACUACUUCUCUCCGUUCAGGCCCUACUGAGGAGGCGGCGGGAGGGCUCUCUUCAGGUUUUUUUGAAGAGCUGAGCUGCUUUGUGCUCAGUGUCUACAUUCCAGAUCGAUAACUUAGUGUCUUAGGAAAGUCCUUAAUUUCUCCUCCCCCCCCCUUUUUUUUUUCUUUUUUAAGGAGCUACGUAAUUUCGACCAGAGCCACUGUGCUAGCAGGGACAUGUUUUAGACUGCAGAGAUAGAAGUCAUGGCUUUGGUUCAGGGACAAGUUGUAUAUUUUUCACCCCUGAUUAUGGGACAGAGAUCAGUGCUGCAUCUUUAUGGGCUGCUCUGCUCUGGACAUCAGCAGCCACACGGCCGAGUCGCCCACUGUGUUUAGAAAUAUAUUUUAAAUGUUUAGU